CUUGCUCCCUGAAGUCAGCGGCGGACGGGUGAGUAACACGUGGGUAACCUGCCUGUAAGACUGGGAUAACUCCGGGAAACCGGGGCUAAUACCGGAUAGUUCUUUUCCUCACAUGAGGAAAAGUGGAAAGGUGGCUUUUAGCUACCACUUACAGAUGGACCCGCGGCGCAUUAGCUAGUUGGUGAGGUAACGGCUCACCAAGGCGACGAUGCGUAGCCGACCUGAGAGGGUGAUCGGCCACACUGGGACUGAGACACGGCCCAGACUCCUACGGGAGGCAGCAGUAGGGAAUCUUCCGCAAUGGACGAAAGUCUGACGGAGCAACGCCGCGUGAGUGAUGAAGGUUUUCGGAUCGUAAAGCUCUGUUGUUAGGGAAGAACAAGUGCCGUUCGAAUAGGGCGGCACCUUGACGGUACCUAACCAGAAAGCCACGGCUAACUACGUGCCAGCAGCCGCGGUAAUACGUAGGUGGCAAGCGUUGUCCGGAAUUAUUGGGCGUAAGGCUCGCGCAGGCGCCCUCUUAUCUCUGAUGUGAAAGCCCACGGCUCACCCGUGCAGGGUCAUUGGAAACUGGCGGACUUGAGUACACAAGAGGA
rnacentral:rRNA from 1 species